UUCUGUGCCUUGCACAAUCACUGCCUGCAAUAUUCUACACUUCAAAGCGGCCGCGCCCCCUGAUGGCCAUUCUCUGUAACUGCACAGACUUAACUGACUGCCGCAGGAGCAGAUUGAGAAAUAGUCCUGUAAUGUAAGUGAUGGGGGAUACAAUAUUUGCAAUGGGGUAUCUGUGUCAAUAUUAUUCUAUUUCAUCUGACUACAAUAUUCAGACAAUGUUACUCCAUCACUUAACUAUAAAAGUAAAUGUAAAACUUUAUAGUCCAGCCUGACAGACCUAUAAGGGCCACACAGGGCUGAGUCUUAUCACCUCAGGUGACUCCUGUUUGGGUAAUGAACAUCAACCCCCACCCACCUGGGCCUGGGCAGGUGGAAGUAUUUCCUACAACAUGAUUGUGUUUCUCGAUUUUAACUGUUUUGUUAAUUGGAAUGCAUGUUCUUCUUCAAUUUAAGACAGGACCACAGUAUGGAAGGCGAAUGAUGACUGGUUACCUGUCUUCAAAAGGAAUCCAAGCAUCUGAGGGACGCGUUGGUAGUGUCUUGAGACAAGUUAACCAACCAUAUCAUGCCGAUCGUUGUCUGAGAUUGAGGAACCUGAAUCCAGUGCCGUACAGUGCUGAAUACAUGGGUCACAAACUGCACUUGGAUCAAAAUGAAAAGCUGGUGAUGUUUGGGGUGACACUUGUCCUCGCUGUAGAUGGUUUCUCCAGCAAAAUUGUCAGCCAUUCAACAAUGCCUGUCAAAAACAACCUGACAAUAUAUCAAGAGGUGUUCAGAAAUGCGGUCCUGCAGUACGGCAUGUGGGACCAGAUCCGUGUAGACCACGGAAAAGAGUUCUACUUGACCCUCUUCAUGCAGGAGAAACUGGCAAGCCACAGAAAUAACACAGCGAGGCAGCCAUAUUUGCAAACAGCUUCAACA